UGAUUACAUACAACGAAUAAAAGGCAGAAGGGCCUCGAAGGGUCCGAAUCUACACACCCAAACACUGCAGGCACCAUCACACUCGGACAUACAACCUAUCGCCAAAAAAGUCACAAUGGGAAGCAGUCAGCAUGGCCCACAGCUCACGCACACGCACUCUCACAAUCCCACCGCAUGCACACAACCACGAAGAAGAAAUGAAAACCAACCACCGCCUCGCGCAUUUCUGUAUAUUGCUGAGUGAUGAAGCCUGGUUUGAAGGAAAAUUGGCAAGGAGUCCCCUCAGAGCUCAGCUGAAGAAGGCUCACCAGAACCUCAAUUGGGAUGAGGGAACCAGCACAACUCAUUGUUGGACCAAGAUCUGUACUGUCAUCAGGAUGACUCCCUGAAAUGAUGCAUAAUUCAGUGCAGCCUGUUCCCUCAUCCCCAGUGUUACUUUGUGUUCUCUGAUGAAAGUCUGGCUGUCAUGUGGAU
rnacentral:lncRNA from 1 species